rnacentral:rRNA from 1 species
UACGGAGGGUGCAAACGUUGCUCGGAAUCAUUGGGCGUAAAGCGCACGUAGGCGGCCUGUUAAGUCGGGUGUGAAAGCCCUGGGCUCAACCCAGGAAGUGCACUCGAAACUGGCGGGCUUGAAUAUGGAAGAGGGUCGCGGAAUUCCCGGUGUAGAGGUGAAAUGCGUAGAUAUCGAGAGGAACACCAGUGGCGAAGGCGAGUCCCUGGACAACACCUGACACUGAGGCACGAAAGCU